UGAUUUCCUACUGUAAAUAGAUUUAGAAAUUUAUUAUUUACUUGCCCAUUCAGGUUUCGUUGUAUUAUAAAUAUGACCUCCUACAAGGAGAAGAAUACACAGAAAAUUCCUACAAAAAAUAUUCUCUCAUAGUUUUCAUAUUUUAGCAAGCUAUAUAUGGAUUACAAAAAAAAAAAAAAAAGGGGAAUACCAAAGUUGUUGUAAAAGUCUUGAUAUGGAGCCCACAGAACUAUUCAUUAUUGUUCAUUACUGUUCAUUUGGCGGCUUUGAUAGAGUUUGUCUGUCACGGGUGAACAGUGAUGAAUAGUGAUGAAUAGUGAUUAUUUCAGCCUAUAAAUAAGAAGAGAAACGGAAAGAAGAAGUGCAGAAAAAAAAAGAGAAAGGAAGAGAAAGGAAGAAAAGAGAGAAGAGAAAGCAGAGAGAAAUUCUCCUAGAGAGAAAAUUCAGUGAGCCACAUAUGUUGUAAACACUAAAGUUGUAGCCAUAUUAUUUUAUAGUGAAAGGUUACUGCUGCUGCUCUCCGAGGACGUAGGCAUAGCCGAACCUCGUUAAAAACUGUGUCUUAUCUAUUCUACGUGCAGCUCAAUAUCCGCAUAUAUUUCAGGUUAUUUUAUAACACGUUAUCAGCACGAUAGUCUCUCCUUUUAUUUCUGAAAUUUUUCCAACUCAACACUAUAUAAUAUACUAUAUCUAUCUGCUUCUCUAUUACUAACCAUUAACAAAAAUGGACCCUUGGUAAUACUAAACAUAUUAUCAGUGGGAGACCGUUACUAAUACUAACUUUUCUUAUUUUGUUCGGUGGUGGUUUUAACCCCACAUUUAAUUUUAUUUAUGGUAUGGUGUAGGCUUAUUACCCAUACGGCAAUAUUUAUUUAAAGGGUGGUGCGGGUUUAUCGUCCACGCCUUUACUUUUAUUUAAAUGAAUGGAGCAGAAUUAGUGCCCAUACAAGCACAUUUACUUUACCGCACAUUUACUAACCAUUAACAAAAAUGGACCCUUGGUAAUACUAAACAUAUUAUCAGUGGGAGACCGUUACUAAUACUAACUUUUCUUAUUUUGUUCGGUGGUGGUUUUAACCCCACAUUUAAUUUUAUUUAAAGUAUGAUACGGGUUUAUCGUCCAUACCAGCAAAUUCAUAACACUUUACUUUUAUAUUCAAUUAAUAUACCUGAAUAAUGAGGACCUGAAAUUGCUAUUAAUAAGUGGCUUAAUAUUCAAUUAAUAUACCUGAAUAAUGAGGACCUGAAAUUCCUAUUAAUAAGUGGCUUAAUAUUCCAGAUCUCGAGCCUAAAGUUUUGGAUGGCAAAUUUGGCAAAACUAGAGUUUGCUGCCUUGGACCUUUCCGGGGACAACUAUUUAUCAUGGGUCCUGGAUGCCAAAAUUCAUCUACGAGCCAAUGGCCUCGGACAAACAAUUGUAGAUGAGAAUGAUGCUUCGCUUGAAGAGAAUGCGAAGGCCAUGAUUUUUCUUCGCCGCCACAUCCAUGAAGCGCUGAAGAGCGAAUAUGUGGUGGUUGAUGAACCGUUGGUUCUGUGGAAAGCUAUAGGUGAAAGAUACGAUCACCAGAAGACGAUGACUCUCCCAAGAGCUAGAUACGAAUGGACCCACUUGAGAUUUCAAGAUUUCAAGUCAGUGUCCGAGUAUAACUCUGCUAUGCACAGAAUUACCUCAUUAAUAAGGCUAUGUGGGGAAAAUAUAUCUGAGGAGGAUAUGCUCGAAAAAACUCUGAGCACUUUUCAUGCUUCAAAUGUCCUCCUUCAACAGCAAUAUAGACAUAGCAGUUUCAAGAAGUACUCGGAACUUGUAUCUUGCCUCUUGUUAGCUGAGCAGAAUAAUGAGCUCUUAUUAAAGAAUCACCAAUCUCGCCCAUCGGGCUCAGCACCACUUCCUGAAAUAAAUGCUGCAUCUCAGGAAGUGAAUGCCACUUCAUCUCGUGGCAGUAUCCACAGACGUGGGCGAGGGGGCAAGCGUGGCCACUGGCAAGGAAGUAGAAAAAAUCAUGGUGCUCGUUCAGAGGGCUUAGGUCCAAGGAGCGGUCCAUCCAUGAAUGGCAAAAAUGCAUCCCGUAAUAAGGGAAAGGCACAGAUGAGCCAUGUGCCUAGAAAUGUUGAAAGCCCUUGUCACAGAUGUGGUGCAAGGGGACAUUGGAUGCGUGCAUGUCGUACGCCCAGGCAUUUGGCGGAUCUCUAUCAAGCUUCACUUAAGAACAGGAAAGUGGAGAUAAAUUACAUUAAUCAUGCUCCGCCAGCCACAGAUGGCUCAUCAGAAAUAUCACGUAAGCUAAACAAGACGCAUCUAGAUGUUUCUGAUUUUGUUACUGAAAAAGGGAAUGAAGGUUAUGAGUCCGAAUUAGAUUAAAUUCCUUAAUGUACUAUUUGUAUUAGCUGAAGUGUUGUUUAAAUUUCAAUCCAAUAAAAGUGGUAAUGUUGUCUUCUUUAUUAAGUCCGAAUUAGAUUAAAUUCCUUAAUGUACUAUUUGUAUUAGCUGAAGUGUUAUUUAAAUAAAAGUGGUAAUGUUGUCUUCUUUAUAUAUUUCAGCUCAUUUUACUUAUUUGGUGGUAUGGAUGUAAAUUAUGGAUGCCCUCAAAACAAAGGCUAUGGCAGAGAUAUUUGUCUCGCAGACAGCGCAACUACUCAUACGAUCUUUCAAGAUCGGAAGUAUUUCUCAAAAUUAAUGCUUACAAAAGCAAAGGUAACAACCAUAUCAGGUCCUGCAGAUCUGAUCGAAGGUUCAGGAAUAGCCCAAAUUAUGUUACCGAAUGGAACAAUAUUGUCCAUUCCAGAUGCUUUGUAUUCAUCUAACUCCAGAAGGAAUCUGUUGAGUUUCAAAGAUAUACGUUUGAAUGGCUACCAUGUUGAAACAAAGAAAGAGGAAAACAUGGAAUAUCUUUGUAUUACCUCCAGUGAUACCCAAAAGCGUAUACUGGAAAAGCUUUGUGAGCUCUCAUCAGGGUUGUAUUACACAACCAUACGGACAAUUGAGGCACAUAGUGUCAUGGACCAAGAGUCUACUGACUCAAAUGCUUUUAAGCUUUGGCAUGACAGAUUGGGUUAUCCUGGAUCCACCAUGAUGCGCAGGAUCAUCACCAACUCUAAAGGACAUCCCUUGUUGACUAAACACAUUAUGUUAUCAAGCGACAUCUUUUGCCAAGCUUGUUCACAAGGGAAGUUGGUGAUCAGACCAUCACAACCAAAGGUUGAUGUUGAGUCUCCAUCAUUUUUGCAGAGAAUUCAAGGGGACAUUUGUGGACCCAUUCAUCCCCCAUGUGGACCAUUUCGGUACUUUAUGGUCUUGGUGGAUGCAUCUACCCGAUGGUCACAUAUUUGUCUUUUAUCUACUCGGAAUAUGGCAUUUGCUAGGCUUUUGGCUCAGAUAAUUAAAUUACGAGCCCAAUUCCCAGAUUAUCCCAUUAAGUCAAUCAGACUCGAUAAUGCUGGUGAAUUUACAUCUCAGACUUUUGAUGACUACUGCAUGUCAUUAGGCAUUGAUAUUGAACAUCCUGUUCCCCAUGUGCAUACUCAAAAUGGCUUGGCAGAAGCUUUAAUUAAACGCCUUCAAUUGAUAGCACGCACUUUGCUAAUGAAAACAAAGUUGCCAGUUUCUGCUUGGGGAUAUGCCAUUUUACAUGCAGCAUCGCUUGUGCGAUUGAGGCCAGUCACCAAUAAUCAAGGUUCUCCAAUACAACUCGUAUUGGGAAAUCAACCAAACAUUUCACAUUUAAGAAUUUUUGGGUGUGCGGUAUAUGUGCCUAUUGCACCAUCGCAACGUACUAAGAUGGGCCCUCAACGCAGAUUGGGAAUUUAUGUUGGUGUUGAUUCACCAUCUAUCAUCAGAUACUUGGAACCCCUGACGGGUGAUAUUUUUACCGCACGAUUUGCGGAUUGUGAUUUUGAUGAGACAAUCUUCCCACCUUUAGGUGGAGAAAAAUCUGUGUCUAAAGAACAAGGCAAACUCAUUCCUGAAAAACGACAUGAAUUAUCCUGGAAUGUAUCCACAUUGUCUCAUCUCGAUCCUCAUACUGCUCAACGUGAAAACGAAGUGAGAAGGAUCGUUCACCUCUAAAGUAUUGCAAAUCAGAUGCCAGAUACAUUUAAUGAUGCAGCAAAGGUGACGAAAUCUCAUAUCCCAGCUGCAAAUGCACCCGCACGGAUUGAUGUCCAUAAUGGACAAAGCAAUGUGCCAGCAAAUGGUUCAUCUGCUGCACGCCUAAAACGUGGCAGACCACUAGGCUCAAAGGAUUCAGUUCCUCGAAAGAGGAAGUUGAUGGACAAAAUGAAUCCAAAUGAAAUAAAUAGAGAGCCCACAAUUCAUAAUUCAAAUGCCCCCAAAGAGGGACAGGUACUUCUUGACAAGGAAAACGUCAUUGGUGAAACAAGUGCCCCUGGAGUGGCAACCGUACCUGAAAGUCAAGAAAUCUCCAUAAAUUAUACGUCCACUAAUGAAUUGUGGAGUAGAAAUGAGAUGAUCAUCGAUGAUAUAUUUGCAUUCUCAGUGGCUGCUGAAAUCAUAAAAGAUGAUGAUAUUGAACCGCGCUCUAUUAAUGAAUGUACACAGAGGCAAGAUUGGCCCAAGUGGAAGGAUGCAAUCCAGGCAGAAUUAAAUUCUUUGGAAAAGAGGAGUGUUUUUGGACAUAUUAGUCCAACUCCACCCAAUGUGAACCCUGUAGGUUACAAGUGGGUAUUUACAAGAAAGCGCAAUGAGAAAAAUGAGAUCUCAAGGUAUAAAGCGCGACUCGUUGCGCAAGGUUUUUCACAAAGGCCUGGAAUUGAUUAUGUGGAAACGUACUCUCCAGUAAUGGACACAAUUACAUUCCGUUACCUAAUAAGUUUGGCGGUUUCAGAAAAACUUGAAAUGAGACUCAUGGAUGUCAUUACCGCAUAUUUGUAUGGAGAAUUGGAUACAGAUAUAUACAUGAAAGUUCCAGAAGGAUUCAGGUUGCCUGAAGCUGCCAGAAACAAACCACGGGGCAUGUUCUCGGUUAAAUUGAGAAGAUCAUUAUAUGGGCUAAAACAAUCUGGACGAAUGUGGUACAAUCGUCUCAGUAAGUAUUUACUGAAGGAAGGAUACACAAAUGAUCCUGUUUGCCCAUGUGUGUUUAUUAAGAAAUCAAAGUCUGGAUUUGCGAUAGUGGCAGUAUAUGUCGACGACAUGAAUCUAAUUGGAACUUCUGCAGAGCUUCAAAAGACUGUUGAUUAUCUCAAACGUGAGUUUGAGAUGAAGGAUCUUGGAAAGACAAAAUAUUGUCUUGGCUUGCAGAUUGAGCACAGUGCUAAUGGAAUUUUGGUGCAUCAAUCAACUUAUACUGAGAAAGUAUUGAAACGGUUUGGCAUGGAUAAAGCCCAUCCACUUAGCACUCCAAUGGUCGUUCGAUCGCUUGACACUAAGAAAGACCCAUAUCGUCCAAAAGGGAAUGAUGAAAUGGUCCUUGGUCCAGAAGUACCAUAUCUUAGUGCAAUAGGAGCUUUAUUGUACCUAGCACAAUGUACCAGACCAGACAUAUCAUUCUCAGUAAAUCUGUUAGCAAGGUACAGUUCUGCUCCAACAAGGCGACACUGGACCGGCAUCAAACAUGUUCUACGAUACCUUCGUGGGACAACAGACAUGGGGUUAUUCUAUUCCAGUGAAUCGACCAACGCCCAGAGUAUUAUUGGUUAUGCUGAUGCAGGAUAUCUCUCUGAUCCACAUCAAGGACGAUCACAGACUGGGUAUGUAUUUACAUGUGGAGGAACUGCGAUCUCAUGGCGCUCAACAAAACAAACAUUAGUGGCCACAUCUUCCAAUCACUCAGAAAUACUUGCCCUCCAUGAAGCCAGUCGUGAAUGCGUUUGGUUAAGAUCGGUAAUCCAUCACAUCCGAAGCACAUGUGCCCUACCCUCAACAACAGACACUCCAACAAUUCUGAAUGAGGACAAUGCAGCUUGUAUUGCUCAGAUCACAGGAGGAUAUAUCAAGGGUGACAGGACCAAACACAUAUCACCAAAGUUUUUCUAUACACAUGAGCUCCAGAAGAGUCAAGAAAUCAAAGUCAGACAAAUCCGCUCAAGUGAUAACCUGGCAGAUCUCUUCACUAAAUCAUUGCCGAAAUAUACAUUCCAAAAGUUAGUACAUGGCAUCGGAUUACGACAACUCUGCAAGCAAUCAAGUUGGAGCAUGCAAAAUCAGGGGGAGCAUUCAAGAGUCCUCUAACAUAGGACAUAUGCACGUUGUACUCUUUUUCCUUCGCUUAGAUUUUCCCACUGGGUUUUUCCAAGCAAGGUUUUAAUGAGGCAACCAAUCUAGGGACAUGUGGUCUCCAAAGGGGAGUGUUGUAAAAGUCUUGAUAUGGAGCCCACAGACUAUUCAUUACUGUUCAUUACUGUUCAUUACUGUUCAUUUGGCGGCUUUGAUAGAGUUUGUCUGUCACGGGUGAACAGUGAUGAAUAGUGAUUAUUUCAGCCUAUAAAUAAGAAGAGAAACGGAAAGAAGAAGUGCAGAAAAAAAAAAGAGAAAGGAAGAGAAAGGAAGAAAAGAGAGAAGAGAAAGCAGAGAGAAAUUCUCCUAGAGAGAAAAUUCAGUGAGCCACAUAUGUUGUAAACACUAAAGUUGUAGCCAUAUUAUUUUAUAGUGAAAGGUUACUGCUGCU
rnacentral:lncRNA from 1 species